GAUGAAGAACGCAGCGAAAUGCGAUAAUUAAUGUGAAUUGCAGAAUUCCGUGAAUCAUCGAGUCUUUGAACGCACAUUGCGCCUCAUGGCAUUCCGUGAGGCAUGUCCAUCUCAGCGUUAGAAAAUAUUCUCAAAUUUUAGUUUUGUGCUAAAAUUUGGAUCAUGUCAAAGAAGCUAUUACUAUUAUUGUGAUCGCUCUUUGGAAAUUGAUAGGUCUUUGAGUUGCUACUCAUAGAACGUGAUGAAUCUUUCUUCGUUCUAUUGUAAUUCACUCUGGUAGUCCUAAAACUUGUAUGCCUGUGGCAUAUCUUGUAAUUUGACCUGAGAUUGGGUAGGGAUACCCGCUGAACUUAAGCAUAUCAAUAAGCGGAUGA
rnacentral:misc_RNA from 1 species